AGUGAACGCUGGCGGUAGGCCUAACACAUGCAAGUCGAACGGCAGCACAGUAAGAGCUUGCUCUUACGGGUGGUGAGUGGCGGACGGGUGAGGAAUACAUCGGAAUCUACUUUUUCGUGGGGGAUAACGUAGGGAAACUUACGCUAAUACCGCAUACGACCUACGGGUGAAAGCAGGGGAUCUUCGGACCUUGCGCGAUUGAAUGAGCCGAUGUCGGAUUAGCUAGUUGGCGGGGUAAAGGCCCACCAAGGCGACGAUCCGUAGCUGGUCUGAGAGGAUGAUCAGCCACACUGGAACUGAGACACGGUCCAGACUCCUACGGGAGGCAGCAGUGGGGAAUAUUGGACAAGGGGCGCAAGCCUGAUCCAGCCAUACCGCGUGGGUGAAGAAGGCCUUCGGGUUGUAAAGCCCUUUUGUUGGGAAAGAAAAGCAGCAGGUUAAUACCCCGCUGUUCUGACGGUACCCAAAGAAUAAGCACCGGCUAACUUCG
rnacentral:rRNA from 1 species